AACUGCUGUGCUCUUCCAGCACCACUAAUCCAGUCUCCUGAAAGGGUCCACAGCUAUCGUUCUUCCUGUUCUUGAACACCUCAUUCCUGGCAGACUCACCAUCCUUGCAGCCUCCUGUGUUACUGACUGUAACUCUAUUGAUGUCAUCGUUGGAGGGUGCUCACUUGGAACCAGCGUCUGACCAUGCCAGGGGUCAGUGGACAAACACAAACGAUUGAACAAAACUAGCAGGUGGGCUUCAACAAUGAAGAAUCCUUGUGCCCUGUCUUGUCUAUAUGUGUCUGGAUCAGUGGUGCUGGAAGAGCACAACAGUUCAGGCAGUAUUCAAAGAGCAGC